CUUAUUUGAAACAGGAUACAACCUACAAUACUGGGUAAAUAAUAAGUGAAUAAAAUAAAGUUGGCCUAAAAGCAGCCACCUUAAAAAAGCGUUAAAGCUUAGUUCUACACACUUACAAUUUCUAAAAUUUUGAUCAACCCUUUAUCCCUACUGAAUUAUUUUAUAUCCUUAUAAAAGUAAUAAUGCUAGAACUAGUAACAAGAAACUGCCCAUUCUCCUAAAUGCAAGCAUAAACCAGAAUAGACA
rnacentral:rRNA from 1 species